rnacentral:rRNA from 1 species
UACGAAGGGGGCUAGCGUUGUUCGGAAUUACUGGGCGUAAAGCGCACGCAGGCGGAUUGAUAAGUCAGGGGUGAAAUCCCGGGGCUCAACCUCGGAAUUGCCUUUGAUACUGUCUGUCUUCGAGUUCGGGAGAGGUUGGCGGAAUUCCUAGUGUAGAGGUGAAAUUCGUAGAUAUUAGGAAGAACACCAGUGGCGAAGGCGGCCAACUGGCCCGAUACUGACGCUCAUGUGCGAAAACGUGGGGAGCAAACAGG